rnacentral:rRNA from 1 species
AGAUUGAACGCUGGCGGCAUGCCUUACACAUGCAAGUCGAACGGUAACAGGCCGCAAGGUGCUGACGAGUGGCGAACGGGUGAGUAAUGCAUCGGAACGUGCCCAGUCGUGGGGGAUAACGCAGCGAAAGCUGUGCUAAUACCGCAUACGAUCUAUGGAUGAAAGCGGGGGACCGAAAGGCCUCGCGCGAUUGGAGCGGCCGAUGUCAGAUUAGCUAGUUGGUGGGGUAAAGGCCCACCAAGGCGACGAUCUGUAGCUGGUCUGAGAGGACGACCAGCCACACUGGAACUGAGACACGGUCCAGACUCCUACGGGAGCAGCGAGUGGGGAAUUUGGACUAAGUGGGCG